CACCGCGGUUAUACGAGAGGCCCGAGUUGAUACCUCCGGCGUAAAGCGUGGUUAGGAGUGUAACUAAUAGUAAAGCCGAACAUCUACAGAGCCGUCAUACGCUGUCGAAGAAUGGAAGCCCAAUCACGAAAGUAGCUUUAUAUCAACUGAACCCACGAAAGCUAGGACA
rnacentral:rRNA from 1 species